UAUUUUCUUUUUGAUUUCGAUACAAAAAAAAAUUUGCUAAACUCGUUACAAAGAUCGAUUGGCCUUUAUAUAGCUGAAUAAAAAAAAAACAAGCCCUCGAAAACUUCCCCGCAUUUACAAUUUUGUCAUAUUUUUUGCCAUUAUCGAUUGUUUGUUGCAUGUGUAUGGAAAACGUGCGUUGUGCGGGGCUACUGGACGUGCGAGCAAGAACGUGGAGCAACGGGACAGUUGCUGUGACAUGAGGACGUGUGCGGCGCUGGGAAAAUUGCCUGGGGUUUCUGCUGAUCUUUGAACUUUUUGGGCCACUCUGUAAUUGGGCUAGGGUUAAUGGUUUGGUCUUUAUUGGGUUGAAUUGGUUUAAUGGGUUUAGGUUAUUUGUAAAAAUGGAUUAUGUAUUUAUUUGGGCCCGGGAAAAAAUGGCCUAUUACAGCUGCCCCUCUUUGCUCGUUGUCGUGUAACGAGAACAGAGAAAAGACUUUAAAAAUGACCAAUUUUUGCCCGGUUGUGCUAGACCUUAGCGCUCUUCUUCUUCUUCAAAUAGCCUCAUUCCUUCCUACUGCAUCUUCAGAGGUAUAGGAACUAGUGCUUCAAUCCACUCCACUGCAACGUCAGGGAGAUAGGACUUGUAUCUUGUAGCUUCUCAAAAGAAUAAAAUUUGCUAUCUCUAGUUUACUCCGUUGCAACUUCGGGGAGAUAGGACUUGAUGCGAUCUGCUCUCUGCAACCUCAGAAAGAUAAGAUCUGGAUGUUAAUCCGCUCUACUGUAACUUCAGGGAGAGAGGAUUAGUUUCUUCUGUCUGCUCCACUGCAACUUCAGGGAGAUAAGACUUAAUGUGAUCUGCUUUCUGCAACCUCAGAAAGAUAAGAUCUGGAUGUUAAUCCGCUCCACUGCAACUUCAGGGAGAUAGGAUUAGUUUCUUCUGUCUGCUCCACUACAACUUCAGGGAGAUAAGACUUGAUGUGAUCUGCUCUCUGCAACCUCAGAAAGAUAAGAUCUGGAUGUUAAUCCACUCCACUGCAACUUCAGGGAGAUAGGAUUAGUUUCUUCUGUCUGCUUCACUGCAACUUCAAGGAGAUAAGACUUGAUGUGAUCUGCUCUCUAUAACCUCAGAAAGAUAAGAUCUGUGAUUUAAUUCACUCCACCGCAACUUCAGGGAGAUAUGAUUAGGUUUUUAGUCUACUCCACUGCAACUUCAGGGAGAUAAGACUUAACGUAAUCUGCUCUCUGCAACCUCAGAGAGAUAAGAUUCGAAUGUCAAUCCGCUCCACUGCAACCUCAGGGAGAUAGGAUUAGUUUCUUCAGUCUGUUCUCUAGGGAACAUGACCUGUAUAAUUCAUAUUUAUGAACCUAAUUAUGCCUAAUGAUUAGGAUGUCAUGAUCAAAAUGAAUCACAUGCUCCUAACUAGACAUGUAUGAAUGACAUAUGAAUGGAUGUAGAAUGUCAUUUUAUGAGAAUGACCCCACUCGUCAUCAUCACUCAAAAUUCAUUAAAGCCGUACCACUGACGCACUACAACGUCCCCUUACUCGGCUAACAUCUCCAAAAAUCAUUUGAUCAGAUUGCCCCACUAUGAAUUUCCAAGUUUAAUCUUCUGGGAUGCAACAUUGGUACCAUCUUUCUCUAGCUGUAACCCAAGGGUAAAAAAAAAUCUGGCCUCUCAAUCUUCUCUUAUCGCAAGGUGAAGCACUUUGGUCCUUUAUACCAUUCUCAAGGUGUCAUACCAAAUGCCUAUGCACAAAUGAAGAAUUUCUUUCUCCGAGGAAACCUUUUCUUAUUGUAACGUGAUCAUUUCUUGCUUGUUCAUUGAUGCUUUGUCACCAACACGACAUCUUGUCACUUUAUUCAAUCAAUGAUUUGACAACAAAAUAUGAAGGAAUAGUCUCAAUUUAGACCUUUCCUUCCCAGAUAUUUCAACCUUUAAACCUGGUGUAUUCUAAAUAAUAAUCUUGUUUCAGGUUCCCAUAUUAUUUAGAAACUUCCAAAGUAAUAUGCAAAAUUUCCUUUGUAAAAAGUUUUAUUAGUCUAUUAAUCGUUAUUCUAAUGCAAUAUGCUUUGCUAGAACUGAAUAAAUAGAAUUGAAUUAAGAGCAUAGCUCGAAAUGAAUAAAUUAUCAAUAAUAUUGAGAAUAAAAGAGGAAUUGACUCGUAUCUUGAAAAAGAAUAAAGUAUUCCAAGAAUAAGUAAUUCAAUAUAAAUAAUAUGAAGGUUAGGUGCCCCAGAUAUCGCAGUUUGAACUUCUCUGCACAAACUUCCUGAAGACCACUCUGAAUCCGACACGUGCUUUAGAAGAUCUACAGUACUCUGUCGAUGCCCCAAGAUGUUGCGUCCCCUUUCCACUGAUUCAAUCAUUGCAAGAUUACCGGAUGUGUUACCUGAUCAGCAUUUGAGCCGCCCUUUUUCGGGUUUUCAACUCAAAUCCCCUUUGGUCUCAAAAUGCCCUUUACGGGUUUUCAAAAUUAUAUUUGAAUAUUUGUUUUAUAUUGCAUUGACUUUUUUAACACAUUUUUCAAAUACAUUUUGAUUUUGUCAAAAAAAACAUUAAAACCAUUUUUUAUGAUUUAAAGGUUUUCAAAAUAAAAAACGAUAUUCAAAGUUAGGGAUUUUCGAGGAAAAUUGAGCCCUAACGUAUUGGGUUCCGGUUUUCUUUGUUAAUUCCAAAUAACCGAGAAUAUUCGUUAUUUAAAAUAUAAACAAAAAUCAUUUUCGGGAAUUCGAUAUGUUAUGUCCUAACGCAUUGGGCAUAACAUAUUAUUUUCUCGAAAUGAAGAUUUUCUUUAAAAAAAAUAAUUAAAAAGCGAUAUUCAAAAUUCGGGGAUUUUGAGAAAUUGUACCCUAACGUAUUGGGUCUCAAUUUCUUCACAUGACUUGAAUAAUUGAUUAUCCCUUUCAGAUUUCAAAAUUUGAGCUUAACAAAAUCUUUUUAAUUUUCAACACCAAGACAUUAAACAAUCAAUUUGGUACCGAUUUUUGGGCGUUACGAGGGUGCUAAUCCUUCCUCGUGCGUAACUGACUCCCGAACCCGUUUUCUCAAAUUUCGCAGGCUAAAUUUGUUUUUAAGGUGGGCCGAUCACACCUCAAUCAAGGAUCGGUGGUGACUCCAAUUUUUAUUCUUAAAGUCGGUAACAAAAUAUUUUGUUUUCAAAAAAAUAGUUUCGACAGCUUGGCGACUCCACUGGGGACUUCGAGAGUCGAGCCAUAAAUUGAUUAUUUGGUGUCUUUUUGUCGAAAAUUAAAGUUUUUUUUUAAAAAAAUCAUAAUUUUCCUUUGCAUUCAUUGAUUUUCAUUGUUUGCUUGUUUGGCUUAAGUCUGUUAUCUUAUUUGCAUUUUGCAUCUCAUAACAUCAGUUGUUUUUACCCCUCUAAGUGGGAGUGAGAAGCUACUCAUUCGUGAGGUUUUCACCUCCGUGCAAGAUAGUGGAUCACUUUCGGGAUACAUCACUUAUGUCUUCGUGAGAUUUUCAUCUCCGUGCAGCCAUAAGGAAAUGUAUUCCCCUGAACCGAACUCGGUCCAUAUGAGCCUAUAAUGGGUGAGGAUCGAGGAAUCUGUUGGUUCGGGUACCUUUUCUCUAGAAGCCAAACCUCAUAUAGUGGACCUUUAGGAACUCACCCUAGGUAGACUUACUCUUAACCUUAGUAGAUACCUAAUUAGGAGUUUUACUAUUUAUUGGUUAUAUUGUAUUUAAUUGAUGCUGACUUUUUGUGUUUUACUUUGAUUGCAUGACAUUUCAAUUACAUGGCAUCUCAUUAUAGAAAGGCGUUGGUUCACAUUCGAUUGCUAAAUAGAAAGCUUAUCAUGGGAAAUAGGUUUCUUGAUAGAGUGGAAGAUAAUGUGGCUGUCCGAACUUGGGCUGAAAUCACACAGCGCGAGAAAGGUGAUAGCUUGGCCGAGGGGUACAUAUCUGAAUUGUGGGACUUCACCCGUGUUAGCGUAACCCAGAACAACUUGCAGGAGUUGAAAGAAAUUUGGGAGCAGUGUAAUGAUGAGGUUAGACAGUUAUUUUAUUCAAAUUAUGGGGAUUUGCCUUAUUUGCUUGAUAUGAAGGUGGAUAAGCAUCUCUUUCGGGCUCUCGCACAAUUUUGGAACCCCGCUUAUAGUUGUUUCACGUUUGGGAGGGUUAAUUUGGUGCCUACAAUAGAAGAAUACACGGGUUUACUUCGGUGUUCGAAGAUUCAAGUGGAUAAGGUUUAUUCGAAUGCUAUAAAUGCACCGACCUUUUUGAAGAGGUUGAUGAAUAUAACGGGGAUGAGUGAGCAGUGGGUUACAGCUCGGAUCAGGCAAAAGGGAGAUAGCAACUGUAUUCCCUGGAAAAUUUUGAAGGAUCUCAUUCUAGCGCACCCGGAUGCAAGGAAGAAGGUAGAUGUCUUUGCUUUAAGUAUAUAUGGUUUGGUUAUGUUCCCUAAGACUUCGGGGCAUGUUGACGAGGCAGUCACUGACUUAUUUGAUCGGCUUGAAAAGAGAGUUACACCAGUCCCGACAAUUUUGGCAGAAACCUUCAGGUCACUGAAUGCAUGCCGGAGAGCGGGAGAGGGUAGCUUUAUUGGAUGUGCGCAGCUCUUACUUGUAUGGUUCUAUAGUCACUUUUGGAAGGUCGAUAAGGUUUCAUAUCGGGUCUUCUCUAACAAUUAUUCACCAUUGAAAGAGAUAGUGGCUACACCGAGGAGGGAUGACAUCUUGGAAGAGAAAUGGAUGGUUAUUUUUCAAAAUUUGCAGGAGGACAAUAUCAAGUGGAGAGCCCCAUGGUUGCUUCCAGGUGAGAUCCUAUAUCGAUGUGGGGAUUUUGACUGGGUUCCUUUGAUUGGGAUUUGGGGAGCCGUUGGUUAUGCACCAUUGCUAGUACUUAGGCAAUACAGGUCAAGACAGUUCGUGCCUGCAACUCAGGGAUUGGCCGAGUGUGACUUCUUGUAUAGGGCCGAUGGUUACAAGAGGAGGGUUCGUGAGAUGGUCAGUGCAUGGAAUCAGACUCGCCGAAUAAAGGGAUUAGCUGUGGGUCCGAUAACAACUCCCGAGUACGACGAAUGGUGAGCUUAGAGGAUUAACGAUAACAUUCCUGGGCCGGGUUCAGAAGAUAGUCAGCCAAUACAGGAGUACUUGCGUGUUGUCCCUACUGAGCUGGAAAUUAUAAAGCAAGACUUCAAAGGAAAAAUGUAGAAUUAGAGAGGAAAAUCGAGCAGAUGGAGGAAGAAAAAGUGAAUUUGAGACUAGAUGCCGAUGUUCAGAAGCUCAAUGCUGAUAAACUAAGGAAGGAGAAGCACAAAGCUGAGGAAGAGUUAGAUAGCUUGAAGACUGAUUACAAGAAGCUGCGUCUGUCCAUGAGAACUGCCGGGCUUGGAAAGACUUCAGAGCAGUGGCGUGAAGAAAUUCGAGAGGAAAGAAACAAGUCAGACCGAUGGGAAAGAAAAUUCCAAGAAGUGCAAGCACGAAAUGAAACCUUGGAGAAGAGCUUGUCAGAGAGUCAAAAGGAAAAAGGAAAACUAAAGGACAGAGUUAUUGAGUUAGAAGGGUCUCUCCGUCAACACAGAAGUCGAAAUUCUGUAAUAGAGCUGAAAGCAAGUCUGAGCAAGAUUGAAGAAAUGAAGGGUAAAAUAGAAGAGUUGGAAGCAGCAUUACGAAGUUGUGAGGGUCGGAUCGAGCAUCUAGAGGUAAAGGAAGGUCGUCAGAAUGAGCAACUUCAUUAUUUCAAAGAUCAAGUCAGAAAUAGGGAUCGCGUUAUGGGAGAGGCUGUGGUGCAGAUUUGUGAAGUGGCAGAUCACUUGCAAACUUUGGCGGUACAAGCAGACACAUUGAGCGUAAAGUAUGAGCUAGAGUCAGAUCGAGGGCAAGAAUUAGCAUCGUUGCUUAAAAAGAUCAAGGUCUUAAGUAUUAGGGCAAAGCCAUAUUUGUAGCCCAUUCUAUGUAAAGAGAUUUAUUUUCUAAUAAAGUUUCUGAAAGUAAUUGAAAUUAGAAUCAACGCCUUCUCUGCAUUCAUUUUCACAUAUCGCAUUGCAUGCAUUAAAAAAUUAUCAAAGGGUUCUGAUUAAUCAAAAUUAAAAAAUAUGGACCAAAGGUUGGAAAAGCUCGAAGGAUUCCAAAAAGAAAUGUAAGAUCAGCUUCAGCAGCAAAUGAAGGAGCAACUCGAAAAGGUUCAACUAAGUUUGAUGAAUAAAAUGGAGGAAUCACAAGGAAGUAUGAUGACAAAGUCGACGCGAUUGUUGACUGAAGGAAAGGAUAAAGGAAAGAGCCCUGUAACAAAUAUUGAAGAGGAAGGUGAUGAUGGACUCCAGUAUCAUCUAGGCUUCACUCCUUUACAUGUGCAGCACCAAGCGGAAGUGUACCCGCGUAAAUCUUCUGUUACGAUCAGGCCUCAGCAAUUUCAAGCCGAUGCUUCAAGAUCGAUGAAUUUUCAAGCCAGAUCAGGCUCCAGUCCUAAGAAUAAUCCUGCCAAUCUUAUUAUUCCUGAUUUCGAUGAAGCAGUUGAAAAAGAGAAAACAAAAGAAGAAUUACCAAAGCAAUUGGAAGAAAGAUGGAAGUGGAUUGAGGAAAAAUUCAAAGCAAUAGAAAGUACUAAAAGAUGCCAUGGGAUUUAAGUUUGGUACCGGAUUUAGUACUUCCGUACAAGUUUAAAAUGCAGGAUUUCGAGAAGUAUAAUGGGACCACCUGCCCUGAAGCCCACAUUACUAUGUUUUGUAGACGAAUGACUGGGUAUGUCAAUAACGACCAGUUAUUGAUACACUGUUUUCAAGAUAGCCUCGCGGGGGCAGCGUCUAAAUGGUAUAAUCAAUUAAGCCGUGCUAAGAUUAGCUCUUGGAGGGAUUUAGCACAGGCUUUUAUGAAGCAGUAUGGGCAUGUGGCGGAAAUGGUUCCUGAUAGGAUCACUUUACAAAAUAUGGAGAAAAAGUCGAAUGAAGGUUUUAGACAAUAUGCUCAGUGGUGGAGAGAGGUGGCAGUGCAGGUCCAACCACCGCUUCUUGAAAGAGAAAUGACGAUGCUCUUUGUAAAUAAGCUAAAGGCCCCUUUCAUCACACACAUGCUAGGCAGUGCUGUAACAGCCCGAUUCUGGGCCUAGUCGGAAUAGUGGUUUCGGGACCACAAAUCCGACGAGGGAAAAUAUGGUUAUUAUUAUAUUUUUAUGAUCUACAAUUUCACGGAAAAUUUUCGUAAAAAUUUCGUUCGAAAAUUUCGACGUUUGGGCACUCAAUUUAGUCAAAAGGACUAAAUUGUAAAUAGUGCAAAAGUUGAGUUCUACAUCUUAGAGGUGUCUAAUUGUUAUGAAAUUUUAAAUUGGAGGUCUUUAUGUGGUAAUUAGACCAUUAGUUAGUUGAUGGACAAAAAUAGACAUAAGAAAUGGGUGAAAUAGAUUUUUUUUAAAUGGGGGCAUUUUAGUCAUUUGGUUAUUAAAUAGAAUUAAAUGGGAAAAAGAUGGCAAAAUAUGCUCAUCUUCUUCAUGGUGAACGAAAUCAGCAAGGGGGAAGCCAUAUUUAGGGUUUUUAAGCUUUCAAGCUCCAUAAUCAAGAAAGACGUGAAGAGUAUAUCAAACGGGGAAAAGAAAAGAUAGGGGAGUAAAGUGCAAAAUUACGAUAUUUUGCACCGAGGUAAGUAAACACGUGACUUAAUGUAUUAUUUUGAUAUUAUUUGAUAUAUGUUGAGAUUUAUUUGGAAUUAAAAUAAAUGUUUGGCCAUAUCCUAAAAAUGUUGUUAAAUCGGGAAAGGUGGUAAAGGGUUGCAAUAUAUGGUUUAUGGGUUGAACACUCGGAAUAAGCCGGAGUAUGUUGUAUAUAAAGGGGUUGCUGUGUGCUGAUUCCCCGAUUCAUUGGUGGUGCUAUGUGCGUGAUCCACCAUAUCUUUGAAAUGUGAAAAGGGGGUUGCUAUGUGCUGAUUCCCCCGAGGGGUUGCUAAGUGCUGAUUCCCCGGUUCAUUGGUGGUGCUAUGUGCGUGAUCCACCAUAUCUUUGAAAUGUGAAAAGGGGGUUGCUAUGUGCUGAUUCCCCCGAGGGGUUGCUAAGUGCUGAUUCCCCGGUUCAUUGGUGGUGCUAAGUGCGAUAUCCACCAUAUCUUUGAAAUGUGAAAGGGGGUUGCUAUGUGCUGAUUCCCCGAUUCAGCGGUGGUGCUAAGUGCGAGAUCCACCAAUAACGGUUAACAUUCCAAGUGUUCAACGAAAAAGUGUGGAAGAUGAAUAUUUCCAUAUGGUGGAAAAUUUUAUGGGGUAAAUAUUGAGUUGAAUACUAAAUCGACCCAUGUAUGAGAUGGGAGAAAAUAUCAAAAACGCAAAAGGAACGAUUUAAUUAUAAACUGUGUUGAACAACAGCAGUUGGGUAACUUUGAAAAAUCACCAUAAAUGGUGGAAAAUGAAUGGGAAGCUUAAUAAUAUAUGAAAUUGAAGCUGAAUGUGUCUAUUUUCAUAUGAAAGAAAUAGAAUAAGCAAAAGAGUUGUAUUUUUGGAGAUAUCUGAAUUUUACUGAAACAGGGCUGGAUUGAUUUCGAGAUCCCCUGUUCUAACUUUGGAAAAUUACCAAAAAUUGAAAAAAAAUAAUUAUGGCAUGAAAUUUAUAUCCCUGGAAUCCUUAUUGAGUCUAUUUUUAUUAGAAACAAGAAAAACCAUUUUUCAAAUUUUGUACAGAGAGUUAAGUAAAUUUUAGUGAGGAAGGGUCAGAACCGUUGGGCAGUGAAACAGGGGAAGGUUUAAUGAAUAAACUGUACUAAUUGGCUGGGUUAAAAAUUCUAAAAUUUUUAUGUUGAAAUAGUAUAUGAGUCUAGUUUCAGGGAAAAUUUACGGAACUCAAUUUGGAGCUCUGUAGCUCCAGAUAAAAAUAAAUUAGUGACUAUGACGCAGAAAAACAGCUUGCUGGAAAUUGCCUAAACAAUAAAGUUAUUCAUGAAUAAGUUUAUAUUUUGGUGUAGUUAUGGGAGUAAUUACUUAUUUAUCAUGUGUUUACUUACUAAGCUAUAUGCUUACUCGAUUUUAUUUUUCUCUUGGUUAUAGUGACUUCCAACAACUCGAAAAUUGGAACGAAGUCAGACAAUCAUCUACACUAUCCUUCACAUUUGGGGUAUUUUACUACUAGUGUUCCGAAAUUUUAUGGCAUGUAUAGACACUUUAUGUAAUGUGGGAUCAUCAUGUAAAUAUAUGUUAUGGUUCCCUUUUAAAUGUAGUGUUUAUUAAUAGUUAAACUAUAUGUGUGUUUAUACAAAUGAAAUUGGUUGGUAUAUUGGAAUGUGUUCUAAAUUUGCAGGAGGUUUAAGCAAAAAUAAGUAGGAAUGCUGUCGAAAAUUUUUAAAAAUUUAGUAAUACCUCAUACUCUGUUCCGGUAAGGAAUACGGGUAAGGGGUGUUACAAGUGCCACGAAAAAUUUUGCUAAUAUAGUCAUGAGUGGUGAGAUGAUUGAAAGUGCUGUAAAGAGCGGGAAGAUUGAUGUUGGAGAGAACAACAGAAGACAAAACUCAAAGAAAAAGAAAGUGAGGUAAACAACGUGAAUAUAUACAACAAGUCAAUUACGGUGAAUCAGCCCAGGAAGGUAGUGACAGGUCAACAGGGUUCAUCAAAACAGGAAUCUGGUACAAGGCCAAGUAAUGAGAGGCCUCAGUUUACACCCACUCCUAUGUCAUAUAAAGAGUUGUAUCAAAAUUUAUUCAACGCGCACGUUGUUGCCCCAUUUUAUUUGACCCCUUUACAGCCUCCAUAUCCUAAAUGGUAUAAUGCAAAUGCACAAUGUGAUUACCAUGCAGGAGUUACGCGGCACUCCAUAGAGCAUUGUACUGCUUUUAAAAAGCUUGUUGAGAAGCUCAUUCAGAUGGGUGUUGUCAAGAUAGAUGAUUCAUCUGGUACGGAAAAUCCAUUACCCAAACAUACUGAUGCAGGGGUAAACAUGGUAGGUGAAGGUACGGGGAAGAAGGUCAAGGAGAAUAUUGCUGAGGUAAGGAUCCCUUUGAGAAGGGUUUGGAAAGAAAUGGUAAGAAGAGGGUUGAUUGUUUCGGAUGUGGUGGAGAGUGACGAGACCCAAAAUUAUUGUGAGUUCCAUCAUGAGGUGGGACAUGAAAUUCAGGGAUGUGAGAAGUUCAGAGCUCUGAUCCAAAGCAUGAUGGAUAUUGGAGAAAUAGAGUUUUUUGAAGAGGAAGAAAGAAAAGAAAAUAUAUGCGCAUCGGAGUCAGAAACGAGGAUUCCGAAGAUAAUCAUCUCGCACCCUAGGGUUACUGAAGUCAGGGCACAAAUGACACCGAAGAUCGUUAUUCAAAAGCCGGUGAAGUUUUUGUAUAAGGAUAACAAGAAGGUCCCUUGGAAUUAUGAAUGCGAGGUAACGGUUUCGGGGCUAGAAACUUCAGUUAGGAUUGAGAAAGAAAACCAAAAGACAGGUUCUUAUACGAAUGCCAAGGAGUACUGUGGUCGGAUAAAUGCUGAAACAGAAUUAGUGGAGGGAAAAGUCCUUGCAGCAGAGCAAAAGAAAGAGAAGAAGGCUAAAUUAAGUUCAUUGAUUAAUGAGCCAAUAAAGGAAGAAGAAGCCACUGAAUUCUUGAAAUUUUUAAAACACAGUGAGUAUAGUGUUGUAGAGCAGCUGCAUAAACAGCCAGCUGGUAUAUCUGUGUUAACUUUGCCCAGGAAUUCAGAGGUGCAUCAAAAUGCGCUGAUGAAGGCAUUAAAUGAAACUUCGUGGCAAGUGAUAUUUCUAUCAACCAAUUGGAUCGGUUGGUCAACAAUAUAAGCGCUGAUAAUUUUAUCUUUUUCAACGAUGACGAAAUACCAUCUGGAGGUAUGGGGUCCACAAAAGCUCUGCACAUUACUGCUCGGUGUAAAGGAAGCUUAGUAUCGGGAGUUUUAAUUGAUAAUGGGUCUGCAUUGAAUGUACUGCCCUUAUCUACUCUCAAUAGGUUACCUGUUGAUAGCUCACAUAUGAAAACAUGUCAAAACGUGGUAAGGGCGUUCGAUGGAACGGAAAGGAAGGUUUUGAGGAGAAUUGAGAUACCGUUGCUGAUAGGCCCGAAUACUUAUGAAGUAGAUUUUAUUGUAAUGGAUAUCAAGCAAUCAUAUAACUAUUUAUUAGGCAGACCUUGGAUACAUUCGGCGGGGGCCGUGCUUUCAACGCUGCAUAAGAAGUUAAAAUUGGUGACAGAAGGACGGUUAGUGACAAUAAAUGUCGAGGAAAGUAUUAUUGCGUCAGUGACCAAAAAUGCACCAUAUGUGGAGACAGACGAAGAGGCGGUGGAAUGUUCUUUCCGGAUAUAGAGUUUAUUAAUACAACAUUUAUUGCUGAGGGGGAUAGAAUUCGAGUACCGAAGAUAUCCAAGACUACAAAAAUGGGCCUUCAAUUAAUUGUGGGAAGAGGAGCUGUACUCGGAAAAAGAUUAGGAAGAGAUUUGCAAGGAAGAGUUGAAGCACCAGUGAUGAAAGAAAAGUUUGAUCGCUUUGGUCUGGGCUAUAGACUAGGUAUAAAACAAAGAAGAAAACAAAGAAGAAAAGAAAUGGAGAGAAGACAGGAGAGAAGAAGGGCACGCCUGAGUGGAAAUGAAGUUAGGUGGGAGCCUUUGGUUUUUCCUCACAUAUCCAAGACCUUCAUAUCCGGAACAAAGUGUGAUUGAUGUGGAAGGUGUUGAAGAGAUAUUGGGAGAUGUUCACAUCAAUGCCCUAGACACAGUUGAAAGAGAGGCUUGGCUAGAGAUUCGCCCUUACGAGCCUGGAAGUGAUCUGGACAAUUGGACUGCAGAAGAGAUUCCUGUAGUUUUUAGAGCUUGUUCAGAGUAAAUAUGCAGAACAUCCUUGUCGAUUUGACUUAAAAUAUAAUUUCUUUAUGGAUUAGGCACAUCUUGGAUAUUAUAAUUUCAAUAAAUAUACUUUUUCGUAUGCAUUUUUGAGCCAGUAUUCUUUUGUUUUUCUUUCGAGUAAUUAUUCUUUUAAUUUUUUCUUUUCUUUUUCUACAUCAUUCUUUUAUUCAUUUCAUAAUCAUAUUUUCUUCAUAAAUUCAUAUAUUCUUUGUAUAUUCUUUGGCACCUAUCAUAGAUUCCCAGAUAUCAAUGAUUUGAAUGACGCUGCUUUAGACUCAGAAUCACCUUUCGAACGAAACCAGUGUUUAGAAGGAUCACAGAAUUUUGAAGAUGACGUAGACUGUGAUGUAUCUCCGGACUUAUUGAGAAUGGUAGAAGAGGAGGAUAAGCAAAUCUUACCUCAUAAAGAAUCAUUGGAGAUUGUGAGUCUAGAGGAGGGAAAAGAGGUAAAGAUUGGAACUGACAUUUCUGCCAAGAUAAGGCAAAACCUCAUCAAGUUACUCCGUGAAUUCAAAGAUGUCUUUGCAUGGUCAUAUCAAGAUAUGCCUGGGUUAAGCACUGAUAUUGUAGUGUACCGUCUUCCCAUAAAAGAGGAUUGCAAGCCAGUUCAGCAGAAACUCAGAAGAAUGAGGCCUGACGUUGUGCUAAAGAUAAAAGAGGAGGUCAAGAAGCAGUUUGACGCUGGGUUCUUGCAAGAAGUCAAGUAUUCAGAAUGGGUAGCUAAUGUUGUCCCCGUCCCUAAAAAAGAUGGGAAGGUACGAACGUGUGUGGAUUACAGGGACUUUAACAAGGCUAGUCCAAAAGAUAAUUUUCCGUUGCCUCACAUUGAUACUUUGGUAGAUAAUACUGUAGGCUAUUCAUUGUUUUCUUUCAUGGACGGUUUUCUGGAUAUAAUCAAAUAAAGAUGCACCCAGAAGACAUGAGAAAUACCACAUUUAUCACUUUAUGGGGAACGUUCUGUUAUAAAGUGAUGCCCUUUGGAUUAAAGAAUGCGGGGACAACUUAUCAAAGAGUUAUGGUAACUUUAUUUCAUGACAUGAUGCACAAGGAGAUUGAGGUUUAUGUUGACGAUAUGAUUGCGAAAUCCAGAACAGAAGAGGAGCAUGUUCAAGUUCUGCAGAAGUUAUUUUGAGACUAAGAAAUUUCCAGCUCAAGCUUAAUCCAACAAAGUGCACCUUUGGGGCUAGAUCGGGGAAGUUGUUGGGCUUCGUAGUCAGUGGGAAAGGAAUUGAAGUUGAUCCAGAAAAAAGUCAGGGCAAUACGUGAUUUGCCUCCACCACACACUCAGAAAGAAGUACGGGGUUUUUUGGGAAGACUGAAUUAUAUUUCUCGGUUUAUUUCACAUCUAACUGAGAAAUGUGAUCCUAUAUUUCGUCUUCUAAAGAAGCAUAAUCCGGGUGUAUGGGAUGAAGAAUGCCAGAAGGCUUUUGACAAAAUAAAACAAUAUUUGUCUAAUCUUCCAGUGCUAACACCACCUAAUCCGGAUAGGCCAUUAAUAUUGUAUUUAACAGUAUUUGACAAGUCCAUGGGGUGCGUGUUAGGCCAACAUGAUGAGACAGGGAGAAAAGAAACGGCAAUAUACUAUCUCAGUAAGAAGUUCACUGAUUGUGAAGCGAGAUAUUCGGCUAUUGAAAAGUUGUGUUGUGCUCUGGUUUGGACAACUCGAAGAUUACGACAAUAUAUGUUGUAUCACACGACAUUGCUAAUUUCAAAGUUAGACCCCUUAAAGUAUAUGAUGGAGUCAACUGCUUUGAAUAGGAGGAUGGCUAGAUGGCAGAUUUUGCUUUCUGAAUUUGACAUAGUGUAUGUGAGUCAGAAAGCUGUGAAAGGGAGCGCAAUAGCUAACUUUUUAGCUAGCAGAGCCUUGGUGGAUUAUGAGCCUUUGAACUUUGAUUUCCCAAAUGAGGAUUUGAUGUAUGCGGCAACCACUGAAGAAAAUUCCCAAAUGGAUCAGGUGUGGAAGUUAAAUUUUGAUGGAGCCUCAAAUGCUGUGGGUAAUGGAAUUGGGGUAGUCAUAAUAUCUCCAAGCGGAGAUCAUUAUCCUUUUGCUAACAAACUGGGUUUUGAUUGCACGAAUAAUAUGGCAGAGUAUGAAGCGUGCAUUAUGGGCAUUCGUGCGGCCAUCGAACGUAAAAUCAAAGUGUUAGAAGUGUAUGGGGAUUCUGCACUGGUGAUAUAUCAACUCAAAGGAGAAUGGGAAACAAGGGACUCUAAACUGAUCAGUUAUCGAAAGAUGGUUCUUGAAUUGAUGGAUGAAUUUGAUGACAUUAUUUUUUGUUAUCUUCCACGAGAUGAGAAUCAGAUGGCUGAUGCGUUGGCUACCUUAGCCUCCAUGAUCCUAGUGAAUAGGUUGAGGACAUGAAGCCUAUCCAGAUGAGUAUUUUUGAAACCCUGGCUCAUUACUAUAAUGUUGAGGAAGAGGAAAAGGAUGAUCAUCCCUGGUAUUUGAAUAUAUUGCGAUAUGUAAAGAAUCAUGAGUAUCCAAAUCAGGAAACGGAGAAUGAUAAAAGAGCACUAAGAAGGUUGGCUAUUGACUAUGUUCUAGAUGGAGAAAUCCUAUACAAAAAAGGAAAGGAUCAAGUACUGCUAAGAUGUGUGGAUGCAGUAGAAGCUAGAAAAAUUCUAGAAGAAGUCCAUGAAGGUAUCUGUGGCACACAUGCAAAUGGUUUCACAAUGGCCAGGUAGAUCAUGAGAUUUGGGUAUUAUUGGUCUACUUUGGAAAGGGAUUGCAUCAGCUAUGCUAAGAAGUGCCAUAAAUGCCAAAUUUAUGGUGAUAAAAUACAUGUGCCUCAUUCACCUCUUCAUGUUAUGACUUCUCCAUGGCCUUUCUCUAUGUAGGGUAUGGACGUCAUUGAGCCAAUAUCGCCCAAGGCUUCUAACGGGCAUCGCUUCAUCUUUGUGGUUAUUGACUACUUUACCAAAUGGGUGGAGGCUGCUUCAUAUGCAAAUGUCACGAAGUCAGCAGCUAGCAAAUUCUUGAAAAAGGAAAUCAUAUGUCGAUAUGGAAUGCCUGAGAGGAUCAUAUCUGAUAAUGCACUGAAUUUGAACAAUAGUGCAAUAGCGGAGGUUUGCAGUCAAUUCGGGAUCAGACAUCAUAACUCGUCGCCAUACCGCCCAAAGAUGAAUGGUGCAGUAGAAGCAGCCAAUAAGAAUAUCAAGAAAAUUGUGGGAAAGAUGACCGAGACUUACAGGGAUUGGCAUGAGAAAUUACCAUUUGCUCUCUUUGCUUAUAGAACGUCUGUUAGGACGUUGACUGGGGCAACACCUUUCUCUUUAGUUUAUGGCAUGGAAGCAGUUUUACCUAUUGAAAUAGAAAUUCCUUCUCUCCGAGUUUUAUCUGAGUUGAAAUUGGAUGAGGCAAAAUGGGUUCAAUCUCGUUACGAUCAAUUGAACUUAAUUGAAGGGAAAAGGCUAAAAGCUGUUCGGCAUGGUCAGAUGUAUCAAAAGCGGAUGAUGCGAGCCUACAACAAAAAAGUUCGUCCCAGAGAAUUUAAUGUGGGGGAGCUGGUGUUGAAAAGGAUCCUUCCUAUACAAAAAGAUUUCAGAGGGAAAUGGAUGCCAAAUUGGGAAGGUCCAUAUGUUGUAAAGAAAGUCUUUUCAGGGGGAGCUUUGAUUUUGAGUGAGAUGGAUGGCAAAGAUUUGCCAAACCCUGUAAACUCAGAUUCAAUUAAGAAAUACUUUUCUUAAAAAAAAAGGGAGAGGCCAAUGUGAAAACCCGUAAAUGGCACUUUGAGACCAAAGGGGAUUUGAGUUGAAAACCCAAAAAAGGGCGGCUCAAAUACUGAUCAGGUGACACAUCUGGUAAUCUUGCAAUGAUUGAAUCAUUGGAAAGGGGACGCAACAUCUUGGGGCAUCGACAGAGUACUGUAGAUCUUCUAAAGCACGUGUCGGAUUUAGAGUGGUCUUCAGGAAGUUUGCGCAGAGAAGUUCAAACUGCGAUAUCUAGGGCACCUAGUCUUCAUAUUAUUUAUAUUGAAUUGCUUAUUCUUGGAAUACUUUAUUCUUUUUCAAGAUACGAGUCAAUUCCUCUUUUAUCUCAAUAUUAUUGAUAAUUUAUUCAUUUCGAGCUAUGCUCUUAAUUCAAUUCUAUUUAUUCAGUUCGAGCAAAGCAUAUUGCAUUAGAAUAACGAUUAAUAGACUAAUAAAACUUUUUACAAAGGAAAUUUUGCAUAUUACUUUGGAAGUUUCUAAAUAAUAUGGGAACCUGAAACAGGAUUAUUAUUUAGAAUACACCAAGUUUAAAGGUUGAAAUAUUUGGGAAGGAAAUGUCUAAAUUGAGACUAUUCCUUCAGAUUUUGUUGUCAAAUCAUUGAUUGAAUAAAGUGACAAGAUGUCGUGUUGGUGACAAAGCAUCAAUGAACAAGCAAGAAAUGAUCACCUUACAAUAAGAAAAGGUUUCCUCGGAAAAAGAAAUUCUUCAUUUGUGCAUGUGCAUUUGGUAUGACUCCCUAGAAAUGGUGAAAAUGACGGAGGAGGUUCACAUUCUGCGUCCUUGAAUUGUGAUAGGGAGGAUUGAGAAAAGGUCAGAUCUUUUUUACCCUUGGGUUACAACGGGAGGAAAAUGGUACAAAUUUUUGUGUCCCAGUAGAUUAACUGUGGAAGUUUACAGUGAGGCAAUCUGAUCCAAUGUUUUUAAAGAUGCCAGCCAAGCAGGAAGGCAUUUUAGCACGUCAGUGAUAAAGUCUUAAUAAACUUUGAGUAGUGACAACCUAAGCGAGAUCACUCUCGGAAAGAAUAACAGUUUACAUCCAUUCAAAUGUCAUUCAUACAUGUCUAGUUAGGAGCAUGUGAUUCAUUCUGAUCAUGACAUCCUAAUCAUUAGGCAUAAUUAGGUUCAUAAAUAUGAAUUAUACAGGUCAUGUUCCCUAGAGAACAAACUGAAGAAAUCGAUCCUAUCUCCCUGAGGUUGCAGUGGAGCGGAUUGACAUGCGGAUCUUAUCUCUCUGAGGUUGCAGAGAGCAGAUCACAUCAACUCUUAUUUCCCUGAGGUUGCAGUGGAGCAAACUGAAAACCUAAUACUAUCUUCUUGGCGUUGUAGCGAAGCAGAUUGAAGCCACGACAGCGAAUCUUAUCUCCCUGGCAUUAAGGCUUGGAUUAGUUGAAGUUGAGCGGAUUGAAGCUGUGGGCAGCGAAUCCUAUCUCUUUGGCAUUACAGGAAAAGAUUGAAGCCACAACGGUGGAUCUUACUUCCCUGGUGGUGCAGUAAAACAGAUUGAAGGUACGACGGCAGAUCUGGUUUCCCUGGCAUUGCAAUCAAACAAAUUGAAAUGUCUAAUCCUAUCUCCCUGAAGUUGCAGUGGAGUGGAUUAAUCACAGAUCUUAUCUCUCUGAGGUUGCAGAGAGCAGAUCGCAUCAAAUCCUAUCUCCCUGAAGUUGCAGUGGAGUGGAUUAAUCACAGAUCUUAUCUCUCUGAGGUUGCAGAGAGCAGAUCGCAUCAAAUCCUAUCUCCCUGAAGUUGCAGUGGAGUGGAUUAAUCACAGAUCUUAUCUCUCUGAGGUUGCAGAGAGCAGAUCGCAUCAAAUCCUAUCUCCCUGAAGUUGCAGUGGAGUGGAUCAAAUCACAGAUCUUAUCUCUCUGAGGUUGCAGAGAGCAGAUCGCAUCAAGUCUUAUCUCCCUAAGGUUACAGUGGAAUGGGUUGAAGCAUUAAUUCUUAUACUUCUAAAGAUGCAGUAAGAAGGAAUGUGGCUACUUGAAGAAGAAGUGCACCAAAGUCCAGCAUGACCGGGCAAAAUUGGUUAUUUUUAGAGUCUUUGCUAUAGUCCCAUUACAUGACAACGAGCAAAGAGGGGCAGCUGUAAUAAACAAAUUUUACCCGGCUCAUUUAUAAUAACCUAUUACUAAACCCAAUAACCCAAAUUGCAAGCCCAAUACCCGAGCAAGCCCAAAUCUAACCUAAUCCAAUUAGCCUAAACACUAAACAGAAAACAAAACCCCUAACUUUCCUUGCACCGCAAUAGUCUCCCGCACGUCGCGCACGUCGUGCCCGCGCGUUCAACAGCCUUGCAGCGCUCGUCUCCACGAUCUCCCUCACCUGUAAUAAAUCGCAAACAACAAGUAAAAAGGGGAAAAGAGGAAGUAAAAGAGUGUUGGUUUUUUUUGUAACGAUUCGGCUAUAUAAAGGCCAAUCGAUCUUUGUAACAGGGUUAGCAAAUUUUGUACUAAAAAACUGAGAAAGAAAAUACCAUAGAAGAAAAGAGAAUGUUUUUGAAGGUGAUAGAUUUGGGUCUUUUCUUUUCGUUUUUUUACUGUUUUUACUUUAUUUCUGCUUUUCCUUCGUUUUUUAAACAAGAGGAUGAUAAAGAAAUGGAGUAGAGAGAACAUUACCGGCGAGGUGUCUUUGCUCUUAUCGUUUCAUAAUCGUCGAGGCAGGGGGAAGAGUUUGAAACAAUAGAGGGUUGCGGCGCAUCUGAAGUAGCCAAAGAAUGGUGUUCUAGGGUUUUAAAAAUGGGCUUAUAAAGGGCAUUAAACGACGUCGUUUGGGGCCUGUUUCAGUGGCCCCAAAACGGCGUCGUAUUGUUUGUACCCGCACGCGACCCAAUCCGGCCCAGGAGGAUCCGCGCAUUUCCUCUUAUUGGACUAUUUGUGAAAUUAGUCCUCAUGAUUUUGUAGUUUUUCAAUUAUUAUUUUUUCAUGGUUUUUUAAAUUUUACUAUAUAUUUUGUUUUUAUUUCAAUCUAACCCGUGUUGUUGUGCAGCGUUUUGGAAGGAGGGAUUAUUUUCCCUUUUGAUCCUUCAAAGUUAAUUGUGCAUUCUAAUUGGUUCAUUCGCAUUUUAUUUUUUAUAAAUUUGCCCCGAAUUUCUAUUUUAAGUUUAAAUUAGUCAUUUUUGUUAUUAUUGCUAUUAAAUAUUUUAAUUUCAAUUGAAUUAUCUAUCUAUCCAUUAUUAUUAUUAUUAUUACUGUUAUUAUUAUUUGCAUACAUGUACAUACGUAUUUCUUUUUAUAAUAUAUAUGCAUAUAUUUUUAUAAAUACAUGUGCAUUUUUUAUAUAUAUAUUUUUUUAUUAUUCUAUUUACAUGGUUUUUUAUAUACAUUUAUAUUUUAUAAUUCAUAUACAUUUUCCUUAUUUUAUAAUUCAUACAUAUAUAUUUUUUAUAUAAUAUAUAUAUUCGCACUUUUUUUUAACAUUAUUAUACAUAUAUCUCCCGCAUAUUUUUAUAAUGUAUAUGCAUUUUUUUUCCUUUAUAAUAUACAUGUAUAUUUCUAAACUUUUAUAGGUUCAUGUAUAUAUUUUAUAUGUUUUUAUCCUUGUAUUACUAUUUUCCAUAACUUUUAUAUACAUAUUCAAAUAUAAUUUAUAUUAAAAUAUUUGUUUUAUAUUGCAUUGACUUUUUUAACACAUUUUUCAAAUACAUUUUGAUUUUGUCAAAAAAAAAACCAUUAAAACCAUUUUUUAUGAUUUAAAGGUUUUCAAAAUAAGAAACGAUAUUCAAAGUUAGGGAUUUUCGAGGAAAAUUGAGCCCUAACGUAUUGGGUUCCGAUUUUCUUUGUUAAUUCCAAAUAACCGAGAAUAUUCGUUAUUUAAAAUAUAAACAAAAAUCAUUUUCGAGAAUUUGAUAUGUUAUGUCCUAACGCAUUGGGCAUGACAUAUUAUUUUCACGAAAUGAAGAUUUUCUUUAAAAAAAUAAUUAAAAAGCGAUAUUCAAAAUUCGGGGAUUUUGAGAAAUUGUACCCUAACGUAUUGGGUCUCAAUUUCUUCACAUGACUUGAAUAAUUGAUUAUCCCUUUCAGAUUUCAAAAUUUGAGCUUAACAAAAUCUUUUUAAUUUUCGACACCAAGACAUUAAACAAUCAAUUUGGUACCGAUUUUUGGGCGUUACGAGGGUGCUAAUCCUUCCUCGUGCGUAACUGACUCCCGAACCCGUUUUCUCAAAUUUCGCAUGCCAAAUAUGUUUUUAAGGUGGGUUGAUCACACCGCAAUCAAGGAUCGGUGGCGACUCUAAUUUUUAUUUUUAAAGUUGAUAACAAAAUUUUUUGUUUUCAAAAAAACGGUUUCGAUAGCUUGGCGACUCCACUGGAAAAUUUUGAAGGACCUCAUUCUAGCGCACCCAGAUGCAAGGAAGAAGGUAGAUGUCUUUGCUUUAAGUAUAUAUGGUUUGGUUAUGUUCCCUAAGACUUUGGGGCAUGUUGACGAGGCAUUCACUGACUUAUUUGAUCGGCUUGAAAAUAGAGUUACACCAGUCCCGGCAAUUUUGGCAGAAACCUUUAGGUCACUGAAUGCAUGCCGGAGAGCGGGAGAGGGUAGGUUUAUUGGAUGUGCGCAACUCUUACUUGCAUGGUUCCAUAGUCACUUUUGGAAGGUCGAUAAGGUUUCAUAUCGGAUCUUCGCUGACAAUUAUUCACGAUUGAAAGAGAUAGUGGCUACACCGAGGACGGAUGACAUCUCGGAAGAGAAAUGCAUGGCUAUUUUUUAAAAUUUGCAGGAGGGCGAUAUCGAGUGGAGAGCCCCAUGGUUGCUUCCAGGUGAGAUCCUAUAUCGAUGUGGGGAUUUUGACUGGGUUCCUUUGAUUGGGAUUUGGGGAGCCAUUGGUUAUGUACCAUUGCUAGUACUUAGGCAGUACAGGUCAAGACAGUUCGUGCCUACAACUCAGGGAUUGGCCGAGUGUGAGUUCUUGUAUAGGGGCGAUGGUUACAAGAGGAGGGUUCGUGAGAUGGUCAGUGCAUGGAAUCAGACUCGCCGAAUGAAGGGAUUAGCUGUGGGUCCGAUAACAACUCCUGAGUACGAUGAAUUGUGGGCUAAGAGGAUUAACGAUAACAUUCUUGGGCCGGGUUCAGAAGAUAGUCAGCCAAUAGAGGAGUACUUGCGUGUUGUCCCUACUGAGCUGGAAAUUAUAAAGCAAGACUUCGAAAGGAAAAAUGCAGAAUUAGAGAGGAAAAUUAAGCAGAUGGAGGAAGAAAAGUGAAUUUGAGACUAGAUGCCGAUGUUCAGAAGCUCGAGGCUGAUAAACUAAGGAAGGGGAAGCACAAAGCUGAGGAAGAGUUAGAUAGCUUGAAGACUGAUUACAAGAAGCUGCGUCUGUCCAUGAUAACUGCCGGGCUUGGAAAGACUUCAGAGCAGUGGCGUGAAGAAAUUCGAGAGGAAAGAAACAAGUCAGACCGGUGGGAAAGAAAAUUCCAAGAAGUGCAAGCACGAAAUGAAGCCUUGGAGAAGAGCUUGUCAGAGAGUCAAAAGGAAAAAGGAAAACUAAAGGACAGAGUCAUUGAGUUAGAAGGGUCUCUCUGUCAACACGGAAGUCAAAAUUCUGUAAUAGAGCUGAAAGCAAGUCUGAGCAAGAUUGAAGAAAUGAAGGGUAAAAUAGAAGAGUUGGAAGUAGCAUUACGAAGUUGUGAGGGUCGGAUCGAGCAUCUAGAGGUAAAGGAAGGUCGUCAGAAUGAACAACUUCAUUAUUUCCAAGAUCAAGUCAGAAAUAGGGAUCGCGUUAUGGGAGAGGCUGUGGUGCAGAUUCGUGAAGUGGCAGAUCACUUGCAAACUUUGGCGGUACAAGCAGACACGUUGAGCGUAAAGUAUGAGCUAGAUUCAGAUCGAGGGCAAGAAUUAGCAUCAUUGCUUAAAAAGAUCAAGGUCUUAAGUAUUAGGGCAAAGCCAUAUUUGUAGCCCAUUCUAUGUAAAGAGAUUUAUUUUCUAAUAAAGUUUCUGAAAGUAAUUGAAAUUAGAAUCAAUGCCUUCUCUGCAUUCAUUUUCAUAUAUCGCAUUGCAUGCAUUAAAAAAUUAGCAAAGGGUUCUGAUUAAUCAAAAUCUUUCCUCAGUUAACCUGGAAUCUAACCAUCCAACUCAGCACCGUUACGGUGCAAGAGCGAAAUUAAAAAAUAUGGACCAAAGGUUGGAAAAGCUCGAAGGAUUCCAAAAAGAAAUGCAAGAUCAGCUUCAGCAGCAAAUGAAAGAGCAACUCAAAAAGAUUCAACAAAGUUUGAUGAAUAAAAUGGAGGAAUCACAAUGAAGUAUGAUGACAAAGUUGACGCGAUUGUUGACUGAAGGAAAGGAUAAAGGAAAGAGCCCUGUAACAAAUAUUAAAGUGGAAGGUGAGGAUGGACUCCAGUAUCCUCCAGGCUUCACUCCUUUACAUGUGCAGCACCAAGCGGAAGUGUACCCGCGUAAAUCUUCUGUUACGAUUAGGCAUCAGCAAUUUCAAGCUGAUGCUUCAAGAUCAAUGAAUUUUCAGGCCGAAUCAGGCUCCAGUCCUGAGAAUAAUCCUGCUAAUCUUAUUAUUCCUGAUUUCGAUGAAGCAGUUGAAAAAGAGAAAACAAAAGAAGAAGUACCAAAGUAAUUGGAAGAAAGAUGGAAGUGGAUUGAGGAAAAAUUCAAAGUAAUGGAAACUACUGAAAGAUGCCAUGGGAUUGAUGCUAAGGAUUUAAGUUUGGUACCGGAUUUAGUACUUCCGUACAAGUUUAAAAUGCCAGAUUUCGAGAAGUAUAAUGGGACCACCUGCCCUGAAGCCCACAUUACUAUGUUUUGUAGACGAAUGACUGGGUAUGUCAAUAACGACCAGUUAUUGAUACACUGCUUUCAAGAUAGCCUCGCGGGGGCAGCGUCUAAAUGAUAUAAUCAAUUAAGCCGUGCUAAGAUUAGCUCUUGGAGGGAUUUAGCACAGGCUUUUAUGAAGCAGUAUGGGCAUGAGGCGAAAAUGGUUCCUGAUAGGAUCACUUUACAAAAUAUGGAGAAAAAGUCGAAUGAAGGUUUUAGACAAUAUGCUCAGUGGUGGAGAGAGGUGGCAGUGCAGGUUCAACCACCGCUUCUUGAAAGAGAAAUGACGAUGCUCUUUGUAAAUAAGCUAAAGGCCCCUUUCAUCACACACAUGCUAGGCAGUGCCACGAAAAAUUUUACUGAUAUAGUCAUGAGUGGUGAGAUAAUUGAAAGUGUUGUAAAGAGUGGGAAGAUUGAUGUUGGAGAGAACAACAGAAGACAAAACUCAAAGAAAAAAGAAAGUGAGGUAAACAACGUGAAUACAUACAAUAAGUCAAUUACGGUGAAUCAGCACAGGAAGGUAGUGACAAGUCAACAGGGUUCAUCAAAACAGGAAUCUGGUACAAGGCCAAGUAAUGAGAGGCCUCAGUUUACACCCAUUCCUAUGUCAUAUAAAGAGUUGUAUCAAAAUUUAUUCAACGCGCACGUUGUUGCCCCAUUUUAUUUGACCCCUUUACAGCCUCUAUAUCCUAAAUGGUAUGAUGCAAAUGCACAAUGUGAUUACCAUGCAAGAGUUACGGGGCACUCCAUAAAGCAUUGUACUGCUUUUAAAAAGCUUGUUGAGAAGCUCAUUCAGAUGGGUGUUGUCAAGAUAGAUGAUUCAUCUGGUACGGAAAAUCCAUUACCCAAACAUACUGAUGCAGGGGUAAACAUGGUAGGUGAAGGUACGGGCAAGAAGGUCAAGGAGAAUAUUAUUGAGGUAAGGAUCCCUUUGAGAAGGGUUUGGAAGGAAAUGGUAAGAAGAGGGUUGAUUGUUUCGGAUGUGGUGAAGAGUGACGAGACCCAAAAUUAUUUUGAGUUCCAUCAUGAGGUGGGACAUGAAAUUCAAGGAUGUGAGAAGUUCAGAGCUCUGAUCCAAAGCAUGAUGGAUAUUGGAGAAAUGGAGUUUUUUGAAGAGGAAGAAAGAAAAGAAAAUAUAUGCACAUCGGAGUCAGAAACGAGGAUUCCGAAGAUAAUCAUCUCGCGCCCUAGGGUUACUGAAGUCAGGGCACAAAUGACACCGAAGAUUGUUAUUCAAAAGCCGGUGAAGUUUUUGUAUAAAGAUAACAAGAAGGUCCCUUGGAAUGAUGAACGCGAGGUAACGGUUUCGGGGAAAUAAGCUUCAGUUAGGGUUGAGAAAAAAACCAAAAGACAGGUUCUUAUACGAAUGCCGAGGAGUACUGUGGUCGGAUAAAUGCUGAAACAGAGUCGGUGGAGGGAAAAGUCCUUGCAGUAGAGCAAAAGAAAGAGAAGAAGGCUGAAUUAAGGUCAUUGAUUAAUGAGCCAAUAAAGGAAGAAGAAGCCACUGAAUUCUUGAAAUUUUUAAAACACAGUGAGUAUAGUGUUGUAGAGCAGCUGCAUAAACAGCCAGCUCGUAUAUCUGUGUUGACUUUGCUCAAGAGUUCAGAGGUGCAUUGAAAUGUGCUGAUGAAGGCAUUAAAUGAAACUUAUGUGGCAAGUGAUAUUUCUGUCAACCAAUUGGAUCGGUUGGUCAACAAUAUAAGCGCUGAUAAUUUUAUCUUCUUCAACGAUGACGAAAUACCAUCUGGAGGUAUGGGGUCCACAAAAGCUCUGCACAUUACUGCUCGGUGUAAAGGUAGCUUGGUGUCGGGAGUUUUAAUUGAUGAUGGGUCUGCAUUGAAUGUACUGCCCUUAUCUACUCUCAAUAGGUUACCUGUAGAUAGCUCACAUAUGAAAACAUGUCAAAACGUGGUAAGGGCGUUCGAUGGAACGGAAAGGAAGGUUUUGGGGAGAAUUGAGAUGCCGUUGCUGAUAGGCCCGAAUACUAAUGAAGUAGAUUUCAUUGUAAUGGAUAUCAAGCCCUCAUAUAAAUGUUUAUUAGGCAGACCUUGGAUACAUUCGGCGGGGGCCGUGCCUUCAACGCUGCAUCAGAAGUUAAAAUUGGUGACAGAAGGACGGUUAGUGACAAUAAAUGCCGAGGAAAGUAUUAUUGCGUCAGUGACCAGCAAUGCACCAUAUGUGGAGACGGACGAAGAGGCGGUGGAAUGUUCUUUCCAGACUUUAGAGUUUAUUAAUACAACAUUUAUUGCUGAGGGGAAUAGAAUUCGAGUACCGAAGAUAUCCAAGACUAUAAAAAUGAGCCUUCAAUUAAUGGUGGGAAGAGGAGCUGUACCCGGAAAAGGAUUGGGAAGAGAUUUGCAAGGAAGAGUUGAAGCACCAGUGAUGAAAGAAAAGUUUGAUCGCUUUGGUCUGGGCUAUAGACCAGGUAUAAAACAAAGAAGAAAAGAAAUGGAGAGAAGAUAGGAGAGAAGAAGGGCACGCCUGGGUAGAAAUGAAGUUAGGUGGGAGCCUUUGGUUUUUCCUCACAUAUCCAAGACUUUCGUAUCAGGAGGGUUUAUUCAUCUGGAACAAAAAGUGCUUGAUGUGGAAUGAUACGAGUCACAAAGGCCCAACCCAAGCUCAAGAAGGUGAUGGGCUCAAAUCAAGAAAAUCAAGAUUCACUUUUUUGAUUUCAAGAAAAUCAAGAAACCGAAUCUUGGCCCAAUUUUGCUGUUUGGAGCGAUUUCAAGAAUCAAGAAAAUCAAGAUUUCAAAUCUUGGAAAUCUUGGUCCAAGAAACCGAAUCUUUCAGCCAAAGCGCAUUGGAUCUCCAUUACGAGCAUCAACGACCCAAUUUCGGUAGGAGAUGGAUCACAAGCCCAAAUUCUUGAAGGCGAGGCCUAAUAACCAAAUUCCAGCCCAAUCAAGAAGUUCCUUCAUACUUAGUUGAAAAUCAGGCCAAAAUGUCAAAGGGCCCAAUUUAUAAACAUUUUAAUUGUUUAAUUUAAUUUUUUUAAGCUUUAGGAACAUACAUGUAAAAUUCGGCCCAAAAACAGCCCAUAUAUAUGCUUGGCCGAAUUUUCCUUUAUUUAUUCUAUUAAUUAGGUUUAAUUUUAUUAGUUACUUGUUAUAUUAGGAUUACUUGAGGCCUAUUUAAAGGCAUGGCCGGCCACCCCUUGUACAUAACACUUAGAUUCAUUCUUAAAUUUCAGAUUUGAGAGAGCAGAAUUUUCUUUGAGUUUUCUCCAAGAUUUCUCUCUUGAGUUUUCUUUAGAAGUUGGUUUAACAAUCUUUUGAUUGUGGGAGCCAUCUUCAACCUUCUUCUUGCCAUCGAUAUUCUUUGGAGGGGAGAUUAGAGCCGUUUGAAGAGAUUUGUGAGAUCUUUCGGGAUUUCAAGGAUCUUUAGGACUUAUCUUUUAUUCUUGCUGUUCAAUUUAUUUUCUUUAUUUCUGUUGAUGCCGAAUCUAUAUCUAAUUUCUUUGCUAUUUUUGUUUGUGUUUCAGCCUUGAUUCAAACUCCAAGAACUCUUCAUUUAAUCGGUUCUUUUAUUGGCAGCAUCUAAUCGAUUCAAAAUUCCCCAAAAUUUAGGGUUCUUGCCGUUUUCUAUUUCUUCUUGUUGGGUGAAAUUCGGCUGCUGAAAUUUGGGCAAUUCAUCUUGGGUGUUCAAUUGGACCGAAUCUCAACUUAAAUUCACUUCUUGAACCGUUCAAUUUCAUCUAUUUCUUUCUUUUCUUUUUGCCGCCCAAAUCCCUAAUCUUCCAAUUAAAAAUCUAUUUUUUUCAAUCUACUUACUGUUUUGGUGUUCUUGGCAGAUUCGGCUUGUGGGAUUUCAUUAUUGGAGUUUGAUUUCAUCUUCUUGAACUCCGAAUACAUUUAUUAAUUCAUUCUUUGUUCCUUGCUGCUCAUUUAAUUGAAUUUGGGGAUUUAAUUUCAGAUCUGAUUAGUUUAAUCUUGUUCUUUGUUUUAAUUUUCAGAUCUGUUCGUUUAGAGCUUUCGUAGGUGUUUCCCAUGACUUGGCAACUCAAUCUUGGUCCGCGUGCAACCCCCAUAUCAUUUGGUAUUAGAUUUUGGGCGUUUUGGGUGUUCUUGGUUGAUUUCUAAACUGAUCUCAAUUUUUUAAAGCAAAAACAGCAGUUUUACCCAGAAAAUUUUUCGAAAAAAUUCAUUUAAGUGGGUAAACAUUGUCCAAUUGAUCUGAAAUUUUACAUACAUACUUUUGGCACUGUGAUUGAAUAUAAAAAAAAUUAAUCCCGCAAAAAAAUCAGUCAAAAAAUCAAAAAAUACGAAAUUCAAUAAAAAUUUUAAAAAAGAUUCAGCGGGUUGAAUUUGGUGCCCAAACUUUCCAGAUAAAAAAUUCAAUAUUCAAGGACAUUCCAGAUUUAAUUUCAUGAUUUUUCAAGAUCACGAACACCUCGAACGAAGUUGUCAAGUUACUCUGCAGUUUUUCGGGUUUUCUGUUUUCAGCAAUUUUUAUUGAUUCUUAGCUGUAGGUUUUCAUUUGUUUGCCUUUAUUCUUCCUUUACGUUAAUUAACACCUUCUUGUUUCUUGUGUUAGUAGGAUUUAAACACGUGUGCACAACUUCUUCCUCGGUGCAACACGAAUCAAUUGGUGUCUCGUCAGUUUUUGGCAUCCUAGUGCAAAUUAGGAUUCUUUGGUAGAUCGGUUCAUCCACUCUCUAAUUGGUUGAUAUAAACUCUGAUAAAGAACUCACAAGAUUGAAUUCUACCUCAUUGUGAAUUUGAAUUUUCUUUUUGAGUGAUUAACGGUGAGGUUUGCUAACUUUUAUUUUUGAGUGUUGAGUGUUUAUUUUGCAGGUAUUUCAAAAAAAAAAAGAGGAAAAAAAUAAGAUGGUAGUCCGCCGAACCCUUAAUAGCCAAAUGGGAGACGAUUUUGAUAACCAAAGGAUCAAUAUUUUCCAUUCUAGGUGUUUUAUAAAAGGUAACUUAUAUUCACUUAUUAUUGAUAGUGGGAGUUGUUCGAAUCUAGUUAGCAGUUAUUUGGUGGAUUCCUUAAAGUUACCUUAUAUCGAGCACCCUAAGUCGUAUCACCUUCAGUGGCUUAAUGAAUGCUCAGAAGUUAAAGUUACAAAAUAAUCCUUGAUCACUUUUAAGCUCGGGAAUUACGAGGAUGAGGUAUGGUGUGAUGUGGUCCCAAUGCAUGCGACACACUUGCUCCUUGGACGACCUUGGCAGUUUGAUCGUGAUGCUACACACCAAGGCAAGCUCAAUAGGUACUCUCUUGUGUUUAAAGGCCGAAAAUUCACUUUUGCUCCUUUAGAUCCCAAUGAUGUAUAUAAGGAUCAAUUAAAAAUAAUGAAAUUUUGUGAGGGGGUAAGGGAGAAAGGACAAAUACAAAAGACAGAGAGAAAAGAGGCUAGUAGUGAAAAAAGUCAAAAUCUAAAUAGCCCAAAGGUGAGUGAAUCCGCAAGUGGUAAAAUGAGAGUGAAAAAUUUGAUGGCAACAAAAAAAGAUGUGCGGAGAGCCCUACUCAAUAAACAGCCUUGUAUCCUUGCGAGGUUUAGGCAAAACUAUUUAUCUUUAUCUAACAUUAACGAAAAUUUGCCUAGUGUGUUUCAAUGUGUUUUGCAGGAUUAUGAGGAUGUUUUUAGUAAGACCCCUAAAGGUUUACCACCUUUACGUGGGAUAGAACACUUCCAUUGGCCACAUACGAAAGAUAACUUUCAACUUCAAUACCUUUCCGAUGAAAGAUGCUUUCAUACGAUCAACAUAGGCAAGGUUGAAGAUGAAAUCACACUACAUGAGCCUGAAGGUAAGCGAGGUAAGGAAUUUUUAGCAACUAAGUCCCGUGCAGAUUUGAAAAUUAUUGAUAAAACUUUUGGUGACUUAGUUCUUAAAAGAUCCCUUCAUUUUGAUCCGAUUAAUUGUUACUCUUCGAUUGUGGUUGAUAAAGUCAUUACGAAAGGAAGCGUGAGUUGUUAUUCUCUUGAUUUGCCUUAUGUAAAAUCCUCGAAUUUGUGCAAAUCUGUUGUGGUGAAUAAGGUAACGAAAUUUGCUAAGUUUGUUUUCAAUUUAUAUUCGUACCUUAAACAGUUUAUGUGGUUGUACAUGAAGUUUGAGUUCCAUUUGACAAAGGUUAACUCAACAACGGAGCUUCGAAUACACUAUGCCCCCGAUGAGCGAAGGUUUAUUUUAAAUGAAAAAGGUAAAAUCGACCCUUAUUCUUCUGCUUAUCAAGGUAAGAUGCUUGAAACCUUUGAAACAAUUUUGUACUCCUCGGAUAGUGAUAAAGAUCGUGUUGAUGAACACUUAGAUCGAAACGUGCUUGACUGUCCUAUUUUAUUUAUUGAUGAUCUAUCUGUUUUGAUGGUUGAUAAAAAGAUUCUUGUUUUUGAUAAUGCAUGUGUGAGUGAAUCUAUAGACCGUCGAUUAAUGCAUGGUAUGAUUAUGCAACUCUGUGAACCAUGUGAAUCUUUUCAAAUACCUACUUGUGACGAUUAUGUUUACCAUUUGAUUUAUUACUCGCAAUUUAUUCAUGGUUUGUGGGAACAAUUUGAGAUGACUGAAUGCCUUAAAACAUGUCCAUCUUUGUUUCGAAUAUUUGACGAGGCAGUGGCGAGUAAAUUAGAUUGUUUGCAUGGUAAUCUGAAUCUGUCCAUUCACAUGCGUUAUACCUGUUCUGUUAUGCUUAUGAUUGGACUACAAGCUUGUUUCCGUUGCUAUUUACUAUCUCAUGGCUAUUCUUUUCAGUGGACUCAAUUGCCAUUAGUCCCGUUUGAUAGAGAAAAGUCGAGUUCAUUUGAUUUUUUAGAUUCGAGGACGAAUCUUUUUGAGGAAGGGAGGAAUGAUACGAGUCACAAAGGCCCAACCCAAGCUCAAGAAGGUGAUGGGCUCAAAUCAAGAAAAUCAAGAUUCACUUUCUUGAUUUCAAGAAAAUCAAGAAAUCGAAUCUUGGCCCAAUUUUGCUAUUUGGAGCGAUUUCAAGAAUCAAGAAAAUCAAGAUUUCAAAUCUUGGAAAUCUUGGUCCAAGAAACCGAAUCUUGCAGCCAAAGCGCAUUGGAUCUCCGUUAUGAGCAUCAACGACCCAAUUUCGGUAAGAGAUGGAUCACGAGCCCAAAUUCUUGAAGGCGAGGCCUAAUAACCAAAUUCCAGCCCAAUCAAGAAAUUCCUUCAUACUUAGUUGAAAAUCAGGCCAAAAUGUCAAAGAGCACAAUUUAUAAACAUUUUAAUUGUUUAAUUUAAUUUUUUUAAGCUUUAGGAACAUACAUGUAAAAUUCGGCCCAAAAACAACCCAUAUAUAUGCUUGGCCGAAUUUUCCUUUAUUUAUUCUAUUAAUUAGGUUUACUUUUAUUAGUUACUUGUUAUAUUAGGAUUACUUGAGGCCUAUUUAAAGGCAUGGCCGGCCACCCCUUGUACAUAACACUUAGAUUCAUUCUUAAAUUUCAGAUUUGAGAGAGCAGAAUUUUCUUUGAGUUUUCUCCAAGAUUUCUCUCUUGAGUUUUCUUUAGAAGUUGUUUUAACAAUCUUUUGAUUGUGGGAGCCAUCUUCAACCUUCUUCUUGCCAUCGAUAUUCUUUGGAGGGGAGAUUAGAGCCGCUUGAAGAGAUUUGUGAGAUCUUUCGGGAUUUCAAGGAUCUUUAGGACUUAUCUUUUAUUCUUGCUGUUCAAUUUAUUUUCUUUAUUUCUGUUGAUGCCGAAUCUAUAUCUAAUUUCUUUGCUGUCUUUGUUUGUGUUUCAGCCUUGAUUCAAACUCCAAGAACUCUUCAUUUAAUCGGUUCUUUUAUUGGCAGCAUCUAAUCGAUUCAAAAUUCCCCAAAAUUUAGGGUUCUUGCCGUUUUCUAUUUUUUCUUGUUGGGUGAAAUUCGGCUGCUGAAAUUUGGGCAAUUCAUCUUGGGUGUUCAAUUGGACCGAAUCGCAACUUAAAUUCACUUCUUGAACCGUUCAAUUUCAUCUAUUUCUUUCUUUUCUUUUUGCCGCCCAAAUCCCUAAUCUUCCAAUUAAAAAUCUAUUUUUUUCAAUCUACUUACUAUUUUGGUGUUCUUGGCAGAUUCGACUUGUGGGAUUUCAUUAUUGGAGUUCGAUUUCAUCUUCUUGAACUCCGAAUACAUUUAUUCAUUCAUUCUUUGUUCCUUGCUGCUCAGUUAAUUGAAUUUGGGGAUUUAAUUUCAGAUCUGAUUAGUUUAAUCUUGUUCUUUGUUUUAAUUUUCAGAUUUGUUCGUUUAGAGCUUUCGUAGGUGUUUCCCGUGACUUGGCAACUCGAUCUUGGUCCGCGUGCAACCCCCGUAUCAUGGAAGGUGUUGAAGAGAUAUUGGGAGAUGUUCACAUCAAUGCCCUAGACACAGUUGAAAGAGAGACUUGGCUAGAGAUUCGCCCUUACGAGCCUGGAAGUGAUCUGGACAAUUGGACUGCAGAAGAGAUUCCUGUAGUUUUUAGAGCUUGUUCAGAGUAAAUAUGCAGAACAUCCUUGUCGAUUUGACUUAAAAUAUAAUUUCUUUAUAGAUUAGGCACAUCUUGGAUAUUAUAAUUUCAAUAAAUAUACUUUUUCGUAUGCAUUUUUGAGCCAGUAUUCUUUUGUUUUUCUUUCGAGUAAUUAUUCUUUUAUUUUUUUUCUUUUCUUUUUUUACAUCAUUCUUUUAUUCAUUUUAUAAUCAUAUUUCCUUCAUAAAUUCAUAUAUUCUUUAUAUAUUCUUUGGCACCUACCAUAGGUUCCCAGAUAUCAAUGAUUUGAAUGACGCUGCUUCAGACUCAGAAUCACCUUUCGAACGAAACCGGUGUUUAGAAGGAUCACAGAAUUUUGAAGAUGACGUAGACUGUGAUGUAUCUCCGACUUAUUGAGAAUGGUAGAAGAGGAGGAUAAGCAAAUCUUACCUCAUAAAGAAUCAUUGGAGAUUGUGAGUCUAGAGGAGGGAAAAGAGGUAAAGAUUGGAACUGACAUUUCUGCCAAGAUAAGGCAAGACCUCAUCAAGUUACUCCGUGAAUUCAAAGAUGUCUUUGCAUGGUCAUAUCAAGAUAUGCCUGGGUUAAGCACUGAUAUUGUAUUGCACCGUCUUCCCAUAAAAGAGGAUUGCAAGCUAGUUCAGCAUAAACUCCGAAGAAUGAGGCCUGACGUUGUGCUAAAGAUAAAAGAGGAGGUCAAGAAGCAGUUUGAUGCUGGGUUCUUACAAGAAGUCAAGUAUUCAGAAUGGGUCGCUAAUGUUGUCCCUGUCCCUAAAAAAGAUGGGAAGGUACGAAUGUGUGUGGAUUACAGGGACUUGAACAAGGCUAGUCCAAAAGAUAAUUUUCCGUUGCCUCACAUUGAUACUUUGGUAGAUAAUACUGUAGGCUAUUCAUUGUUUUCUUUCAUGGACGGUUUUUCUGGAUAUAAUCAAAUAAAGAUGCACCCAGAAGACAUGAGAAAGACCACAUUUAUCACUUUAUGGGGAACGUUUUGUUAUAAAGUGAUGCCCUUUGGAUUAAAGAAUGUGGGGGAAACUUAUCAAUGAGCUAUGGUAACUUUGUUUCAUGACAUGAUGCACAAGGAAAUUGAGGUUUAUGUUGACGAUAUGAUUGUGAAAUCCAGAACGGAAGAGGAGCAUGUUCAAGUUCUGCGGAAAUUAUUUUUGAGACUAAGAAAUUUCCAGCUCAAGCUUAAUCCAACAAAGUACACCUUUGGGGCUAGAUCGGGGAAGUUGUUGGGCUUCGUAGUCAGUGGGAAAGGAAUUGAAGUUGAUCCAGAAAAAGUCAGGGCAAUACGUGAUUUGCCUCCACCACACACUCAGAAAGAAGCACGGGGUUUUUUGGGAAGACUGAAUUAUAUUUCUCAGUUUCUUUCACAACUGACUGAGAAAUGUGAUCCUAUAUUCCGUCUUCUAAAGAAGCAUAAUCCGGGCGUAUGGGAUGAAGAAUGCCAGAAGGCUUUUGACAAAAUAAAACAAUAUUUGUCUAAUCCUCUAGUGCUAGCACCACCUAAUCCGGAUAGGCCAUUAAUAUUGUAUUUAAUAGUAUUUGACAAUUCCAUGGGGUGCGUGUUAGGCCAACAUGAUGAGACAGGGAGAAGAGAAAGGGCAAUAUAUUAUCUCAGUAAGAAGUUCACUGAUUGUGAAGCGAGAUACUCGGCUAUUGAGAAGUUGUGUUGUGCUUUGGUUUGGACAACUCGAAGAUUACGACAAUAUAUGUUGUAUCACACGACAUUGGUAAUUUCAAAGUUAGACCCCUUAAAGUAUAUGAUGGAGUCGACUGCUUUGAAUGGGAGGAUGGCUAGAUGGCAGAUCUUGCUUUCUAAAUUUGACAUAGUGUAUGUGAGUCAGAAAGCUGUGAAAGGGAGCGCAAUUGGCGACUUCACUAGGGACUUCGAGAGUCGAGCCAUAAAUUGAUUAUUUGGUGUCUUUUUGUCGAAAAUUAAAGUUUUUUUUAAAAAAAAUCAUAAUUUUCCUUUGCAUUCAUUGAUUUGCAUUGUUUGCUUGUUUUGCUUAAGUCUGUUAUCUUAUUUGCAUUUUGCAUCUCAUAACGUCGGUCGUUUUUACCCCUCUAAGUGGGAGUGAGAAGCUACUCCUUCGUGAGGUUUUCACCUCCGUGCAGGAUAGUUGAUCACUUUCGGGAUACAUCACUUAUGUCUUCGUGAGAUUUUCAUCUCCGUGCAGCCAUAAGGAAAUGUAUUCCCCUGAACCGAACUCGGUCCAUAUGAGCCUAUAAUAGGUGAGGAUCGAGGAAUCUACUGGUUCGGGUACCUUUGCUCUAGAAGCCAAACCUCAUAUAGUGGACCUUUAGGAACUCACCCUAGGUAGACUUACUCUUAACCUUAGUAGAAACCUAAUUAGGAGUUUUACUAUUUCUUGGUUAUAUUGUAUUUAAUUGAUGCUGACUUUUUGUGUUUUACUUUGAUUACAUGACAUUUCAAUUACAUGGCAUCUCAUUAUAGAAAGGCGUUGGUUCACAUUCAAUUGCUAAAUAGAAAGCUUAUCAUGGGAAAUGGGUUUCUUGAUAGAGUGGAAGAUAAUGCGGCUGUCCGAACUUGGGCUGAAAUCACACAGCGCAAGAAAGGUGAUAGCUUGGCCGAGGGGUACAUAUCCGAAUUGUGGGACUUCACCCGUGUUAGCGUAACCCAGAACAACUUGCAGGAGUUGAAAGAAAUUUGGGAGCAGUGUAAUGAUGAGGUUAGACAAUAUAACUUUCAAAUCUCUUUUAUAUAUGCAUAUAUAUCCAUAUUUUUUAAAAAAAUUACUAGUAUAUUAUGUUUAUAAUUUUAUUUUUAUUUUAUAAAUUUUAUAAAUUUUAUUUAUUUUUAUUUUUAUUUUUAUUUUAUUAUUUUUGUUAUUUUUGUAUACAUGUAUAUAUAUGCAUCAAUAUCUUAUCAUACUUUUUAAAAAUAAAUAUUUUUAUUUUAUCAAAACAUUAAAAUUAUUUUUUAUGAUUCAAAGGUUUUCAAAAUAAAAACGAUAUUCAAAGUUAGGAAUGUUCGAGGAAAAUUGAGCCCUAACGUAUUGGGUUCCGAUUUUCUUUGUUAAUUCCAAAUAACCGAGAAUAUUCGUUAUUUAAAAUAUAAACAAAAAUCAUUUUCGGGAAUUUAAUAUGUUAUGUCCUAACGCAUUGGGCAUGACAUAUUACUUUCUCAAAAUGAAGAUUUUCUUUAACAAUUUAAUGAAAAAGCGAUAUUCAAAUUCGGGGAUUUUGAGAAAUUGUACCCUAACGUAUUGGGUCUCAAUUUCUUCACAUGACUUGAAUAAUUGAUUAUCCUUUUCAGAUUUCAAAAUUUGAGUUCAACAAAAUCUUUUUAAUUUUCGACACCAAGACAUUAAAUAAUCAAUUUGGUACCGAUUUUUGGGCGUUACGAGGGUGCUAACCCUUCCUCGUACGUAACUGACUCCCGAACUUGUUUUCUCAAAUUUCGCAAGCCAAAAUUGUUUUUAAGGUGAACCGAUCACACCUCAAUCAAGGAUCGGUGGCGACUCCAAUUUUUGUUUUUAAAGUCGAUAACUAAAUUAUUGUUUUUCAAAAAAUGGUUUCGACAGCUUGGCGACUCCACUGGAGACUUCGAGAGUCGAGCCAUAAAUUGAUUAUUUGGUGUCUUUUUGUCGAAAAUUAAAGUUUUUUUUAAAAAAAAUCAUAAUUUUCCUUUGCAUUCAUUGAUUUUCAUUGUUUGCUUGUUUGGCUUAAGUCUGUUAUCUUAUUUGCAUUUUGCAUCUCAUAACGUCAGUCGUUUUUACCCCUCUAAGUGGGAGUGAGAAGCUACUCAUUCGUGAGGUUUUCACCUCCGUGCAGGAUAGUGGAUCACUUUCGGGAUACAUCACUUAUGUCUUCGUGAGAUUUUCAUCUCCGUGCAGCCAUAAGGGAAUGUAUUCCCCUGAACCGAACUCGGUCCAUAUGAGCCUAUAAUGGGUGAGGUCAAGGAAUCUGCUGGUUCGGGUACCUUUGAUCUAGAAGCCAAACCACAUAUAGUGGACCUUUAGGAACUCACCCUAGGUAGACUUACUCUUAACCUUAGUAGAUACCUAAUUAGGAGUUUUACUAUUUCUUGGUUAUAUUGUAUUUAAUUGAUGCUAACUUUUUGUGUUUUACUUUGAUUGCAUGACAUUUCAAUUACAUGGCAUCUCAUUAUAGAAAGGCGUUGGUUCACAUUCGAUUGCUAAAUAGAAAGCUUAUCAUGGGAAAUGAGUUUCUUGAUAGAGUGGAAGAUAAUGCGGCUGUCCGAACUUGGGCUGAAAUCACACAGCGCGAGAAAGGUGAUAGCUUUGCCGAGGGGUACAUAUCCGAAUUGUGGGACUUCACUCGUGUUAGCGUAACCCAGAACAACUUGCAGGAGUUGAAAGAAAUUUGGGAGCAGUGUAAUGAUGAGGUUAGACAGUUAUUUUAUUCAAAUUAUGGGGAUUUGCCUUAUUUGCUUGAUAUGAAGGUGGAUAAACGUCUCUUUCAGGCUCUCGCACAAUUUUGGAACCCCGCUUAUAGUUGUUUCACGUUUGGGAGGGUUGAUUUGGUGCCUACAAUAGAAGAAUACACGGCUUUACUUCGGUGUUCGAAGAUUCAAGUGGAUAAGGUUUAUUCGAAGGCUGUAAAUGCACUGACCUUUUUGAAGAGGUUGAUGAGUAUAACGGGGAUGAGUGACCAGUGGGUCACAGCUCGGAUCAGGCAAAAGGGAGAUAGCAAGUGUAUUCCCUAGAAAAUUUUGAAGGAUCUCAUUCUAGCGCACCCGGAUGCAAGGAAGAAGGUAGAUGUCUUUGCUUUAAGUAUAUAUGGUUUGGUUAUGUUCCCUAAGACUUUGGGGCAUGUUGACGAGGCAGUCACUGACUUAUUUGAUUGGCUUGAAAAGAGAGUUACACUAGUCCCGGCAAUUUUGGCAGAAACCUUCAGGUCACUGAAUGCAUGCCGGAGAGCGGGAGAGGGUAGGUUUAUUGGAUGUGCGCAGCUCUGACUUGCAUGGUUCCAUAGUCACUUUUGGAAGGUCGAUAAGGUUUCAUAUCGGAUCUUCUCUGACAAUUAUUCACCAUUGAAAGAGAUAGUGGCUACACCGAGGAGGGAUGACAUCUCGGAAGAGAAAUGGAUGGCUAUUUUUCAAAAUUUGCAGGAGGGCGAUAUCGAGUGGAGAGCCUCAUGGUUGCUUCCGGGUGAGAUCCUAUAUUGAUGUGGGGAUUUUGACUGGGUUCCUUUGAUUGGGAUUUGGGGAGCCGUUGGUUAUGCACCAUUGCUAGUACUUAGGCAAUACAGGUCAAGACAGUUCGUGCCUACAACUCAGGGAUUGGCUGAGUGUGAGUUCUUGUAUAGGGGCGAUGGUUACAAGAGGAGGGUUCGUGAGAUGGUCAGUGCAUAGAAUCAGACUCGCCGAAUGAAGGGAUUAGCUGUGGGUCUGAUAAUAACUCCCGAGUACGACGAAUGGUGGGCUAAGAGGAUUAACGAUAACAUUCCUGGGCCGGGUUCAGAAGAUAGUCCGCCAAUAGAGGAGUACUUGCGUGUUGUCCCUACUGAGCUGGAAAUUAUAAAGCAAGACUUCAAAAGGAAAAAUGCAGAAUUAGAGAGGACAAUCGAGCAGAUGGAGGAAAAAAAGUGAAUUUGAGACUAGAUGCCGAUGUUCAGAAGCUCGAGGCUGAUAAACUAAGGAAGGGGAAGCACAAAGCUGAGGAAGAGUUAGAUAGCUUGAAGACUGAUUACAAGAAGCUGCGUCUGUCCAUGAGAACUGCCGGGCUUGGAAAGGCUUCAGAGCAGUGGCAUGAAGAAAUUCGAGAGGAAAGAAACAAGUCAGACCGGUGGGAAAGAAAAUUCCAAGAAGUGCAAGCACGAAAUGAAGCCUUGGAGAAUAGCUUGUCAGAGAGUCAAAAGGAAAAAGGAAAACUAAAGGACAGAGUCGUUGAGUUAGAAGGGUCUCUCCGUCAACACAGAAGUCGAAAUUCUGUAAUAGAGCUGAAAGCAAGUCUGAGCAAGAUUGAAGAAAUGAAGGGUAAAAUAGAAGAGUUGAAAGCAGCAUUACGAAGUUGUGAGGGUCGGAUCGAGCAUCUAGAGGUAAAGGAAGGUCGUCAGAAUGAGCAACUUCAUUAUUUCCAAGAUCAAGUCAGAAAUAGGGAUCGCGUUAUGGGAGAGGCUGUGGUGCAGAUUCGUGAAGUGGCAGAUCACUUGCAAACUUUGGCGGUACAAGCAGACACGUUGAGCGUAAAGUAUGAGCUAGAUUCAGAUCGAGGGCAAGAAUUAGCAUCGUUGCUUAAAAAGAUCAAGGUCUUAAGUAUUAGGGCAAAGCCAUAUUUGUAGCCCAUUCUAUGUAAAGAGAUUUAUUUUCUAAUAAAGUUUCUGAAAGUAAUUGAAAUUAGAAUCAAUGCCUUCUCUGCAUUCAUUUUCAUAUAUCGCAUUGCAUGCAUUAAAAAAUUAGCAAAGGGUUCUGAUUAAUCAAAAUCUUUCCUCAGUUAACCUGGAAUCUAACCAGCCAACUCAGCACCGUUACGGUACAAGAGCGAAAUUAAAAAAUAUGGACCAAAGGUUGGAAAAGCUCGAAGGAUUCCAAAAAGAAAUGCAAGAUCAGCUUCAGCAGCAAAUGAAGGAGCAACUCAAAAAGAUUCAACAAAGUUUGAUGAAUAAAAUGGAGGAAUCACAAUGAAGUAUGAUGACAAAGUAGACGCGAUUGUUGACUGAAUGAAAGGAUAAAGGAAAGAGCCCUGUAACAAAUAUUGAAGAGGAAGGUGAGGAUGGACUCCAGUAUCCUCCAGGCUUCACUCCUUUACAUGUGCAGCACCAAGCGGAAGUGUACCCGCGUAAAUCUUCUGUUACGAUUAGGCCUCAGCAAUUUCAAGCCGAUGCUUCAAGAUCGAUGAAUUUUUAGGACGGAUCAGGCUCCAGUCCUAAGAAUAAUUCUGCCAAUCUUAUUAUUACUGAUUUCGAUGAAGCAGUUGAAAAAGAGAAAACAAAAGAAGAAUUACCAAAGCAAUUGAAAGAUAGAAGUGGAUUGAGGAAAAAUUCAAAGCAAUAGAAACUACUGAAAGAUGCCAUGGGAUUGAUGCUAAGGAUUUAAGUUUGGUACCGGAUUUAGUACUUCCGUACAAGUUUAAAAUACCGGAUUUCGAGAAGUAUAAUGGGACCACCUGCCCUGAAGCUUACAUUACUAUGUUUUGUAGACGAAUGACUGGGUAUGUUAAUAACGACCAGUUAUUGAUACACUGUUUUUAGGAUAGCCUCGCGGGGGCGGCGUCUAAAUGGUAUAAUCAAUUAAGCCGUGCUAAGAUUAGCUCUUGGAGGGAUUUAGCACAGGCUUUUAUGAAGCAGUAUAGACAUGUGGCGAAAAUUGUUCCUGAUAGGAUCACUUUACAAAAUAUGGAGAAAAAGUCGAAUGAAGGUUUUAGACAAUAUGCUCAGAGGUGGAGAGAGGUGGCAGUGCAGGUCCAACCACCGCUUCUUGAAAGAGAAAUGACGAUGCUCUUUGUAAAUACGCUAAAGGCCCCUUUCAUCACACACAUGCUAGGCAGUGCCACGAAAAAUUUUACUGAUAUAGUCAUGAGUUGUGAGAUGAUUGAAAAUGCUAUAAAGAGUGGGAAGAUUGAUGUUGGAGAGAACAACAGAAGACAAAACUCAAAGAAAAAAGAAAGUGAGGUAAACAACGUGAAUACAUACAAUAAGUCAAUUACGGUGAAUCAGCCCAGGAAGGUAGUGACAGGUUAACAAGGUUCAUCAAAACAGGAAUCUGGUACAAGGCCAAGUAAUGAGAGGCCUCAGUUUACACCCAUUCCUAUGUCAUAUAAAAAGUUGUAUCAAAAUUUAUUCAACGCGCACGUUGUUGCCCCAUUUUAUUUGACCCCUUUACAGCCUCCAUAUCCUAAAUGGUAUGAUGCAAAUGCACAAUGCGAUUACCAUGCAGGAGUUACGCGGCACUCCAUAGAGCAUUGUACUGCUUUUAAAAAGCUUGUUGAGAAGCUCAUUCAGAUGGGUGUUGUCAAGAUAGAUGAUUCAUCUGGUACGAAAAAUCCAUUACCCAAACAUACUGAUGCAGGGUAAACAUGGUAGGUGAAGGUACGGGGAAGAAGGUCAAGGAGAAUAUUGCUAAGGUAAGGAUCCCUUUGAGAAGGGUUUGGAAGGAAAUGGUAAGAAGAGGGUUGAUUGUUUCGGAUGUGGUGGAGAGUGACGAGACCCAAAAUUAUUGUGAGUUCCAUCAUGAGGUGGGACAUGAAAUUCAGGGAUGUGAGAAGUUCAGAUCUCUGAUCCAAAGCAUGAUGGAUAUUGGAGAAAUGGAGUUUUUUGAAGAGGAAGAAAGAAAAGAAAAUAUAUGCGCAUCGGAGUCAGAAACGAGGAUUCCGAAGAUAAUCAUCUCGCACCCUAGGGUUACUGAAGUCAGGGCACAAAUGACAUCGAAGAUUGUUAUUCAAAAGCCGGUGAAGUUUUUGUAUAAGGAUAACAAGAAGGUCCCUUGGAAUUAUGAAUGCGAGGUAGCGGUUUCGGGGAAAGAAGCUUCAGUUAGGGUUGAGAAAGAAAACAAAAAGACAGGUUCUUAUACGAAUACCGAUGAGUACUGUGGUUGGAUAAAUGCUAAAACAGAGUCGGUGGAGGGAAAAGUCCUUGCAGCAGAGCAAAAGAAAGAGAAGAAGGCUGAAUUAAGGUCAUUGAUUAAUGAGCCAAUAAAGGAAACAAUGAAAAUCAAUGAAUGCUAAGGAAAAUUAUGAUUUUUUAAAAAAAAAACUUUAAUUUUCGACAAAAAGACACCAAAUAAUCAAUUUAUGGCUCGACUCUCGAAGUCCCCAGUGGAGUCGCCAAGCUGUCGAAACCAUUUUUUGAAAAACAAUAAUUUAGUUAUCGACUUUAAAAACAAAAAUUGGAGUCGCCACCGAUCCUUGAUUGAGGUGUGAUCGGUUUACCUUAAAAACAAUUUUGGCCUGCGAAAUUUGAGAAAACAGGUUCGGGAGUCAGUUAUGUACGAGGAAGGGUUAGCACCCUCGUAACGCCCAAAAAUCGGUACCAAAUUGAUUAUUUAAUGUCUUGGUGUCGAAAAUUAAAAAGAUUUUGUUGAACUCAAAUUUUGAAAUCUGAAAAGGAUAAUCAAUUAUUCAAGUCAUGUGAAGAAAUUGAGACCCAAUACGUUAGGGUACAAUUUCUCAAAAUCCCCGAAUUUGAAUAUCACUUUUUCAUUAAAUUGUUAAAGAAAAUCUUCAUUUCGAGAAAGCAAUAUGUCAUGCCCAAUGCGUUAGGACAUAACAUAUUAAAUUCCCGAAAAUGAUUUUUGUUUAUAUUUUAAAUAACGAAUAUUCUCGGUUAUUUGGAAUUAACAAAGAAAAUCGGAACCCAAUACGUUAGGGCUCAAUUUUCCUCGAAAAUCCCUAACUUUGAAUAUCGUUUUUAUUUUGAAAACCUUUGAAUCAUAAAAAAUAAUUUUAAUGUUUUGAUAAAAUCAAAAUAUUUAUUUUUAAAAAGUAUGAUAAGAUAUUGAUGCAUAUAUACAUGUAUACAAAAAUAACAAAAAUAACAAAAUAAAAAUAAAUAAAAUAAAAUUUAUAAAAUAAAAAUAAAAUUAUAAACAUAAUAUACUAGUAAUUUUUAAAAAAAAUAUGGAUAUAUAUGCAUAUAUAAAAGAGAUUUGAAAGUUAUAUUUAUAAAAGUGUCGAAUAAUGUAGGUAUAUAUAUAUACAAAUUAUAAAAAAUAUUUGGACUAUAAGAUAGAGGAAAUAUAUAAGUGUUAUAAAAUACGAAUAUAUACGCAUACAUAUGUACAUAAAGCUAAGAAAACUAAAGUAAUAAUAAAAUAUAUGAUAUGUAUAUAGUAUAUAUAUUUACAACAUUUAAGAAAUAAAAAAAAACGUGUGUUAAUAUGCAUAUGCGGUAAGUAUAAUAAUAAAAAUAUAUAAUAUAAUAAUAAUAAACUAAUAAUCAUUCAGUAAUAAUAAUGUAAUAUAUAAAAAAACCCAAAAUAGCAAAUUAAGGAUUAAACUAAAAAAACAAAAAAAUUUGAGUGCUGAAUUUGAAAAUAAAAACAAAAAAGGAGUAAUUCAAAACAUGCGCAACAGGGGAAGGACUGAAGGAGUAAAUUACCCAAAAAACACUGCACAACAAUGCGCAACAUUGGAUUAAAUCAAAACAUUAACAAUGUUUCAUGGAAAAAUUUGAAAAUAAUAAUAAAAAAAGAAAAAACAGUGAUUUUGAAAACCAUAAAAAACUGAAGGGCCUAAAUUAUAAAUAACCCAUCAACUUAAAAUCAAACAAAAACCCCCUUUUUAAACCCUAAAAAGAGCAUUUUCUUUCUUUCUUUGACAUUGCACCGUAAUGUUCUCCUUCUGCCCUCCUCUGCUCCUAUGGCGAUGAAACAAAGGAGCUUCAACGACGCCACACCGGUAAGUUCCCUUUACUCCCUUCCUCGUUUUGUUUAUUUGUUGUUUUUUAGAAGCAAAAGAAAAAAACUAAAAUAAAUUUUUUUAAAAAAAAGUAAAGGAACAGAGAAAAAUAAAACCAAAUCCCACCUUCAAAAAUAUUUUUCUGUAUAUUUUCUUUUUGAUUUCGGUACAAAAAAAAAUUUGCUAAACUCGUUACAAAGAUCGAUUGGCCCUUAUAUAGCCGAAUAAUAAUAAAAAACAAGCCCUCGAAAACUUCCCCCAUUUACAAUUUUGUCAUAUUUUCUGCCAUUAUCGAUUGUUUGUUGUAUGUGUAUGGAAAACGUGCGUUGUGCGGGGCUACUGGACGUGCGAGCAAGAACGUGGAGCAACGGGACAGUUGCUGCGACAUGAGGACGUGUGCGGCGCUGGGAAAACUGCCUGGGGUUUCUGCUGAUCUUUGAACUUUUUGGGCCACUCUGUAAUUGGGCUAGGGUUAAUGGUUUGGUCUUUAUUGGGUUGAAUUGGUUGAAUGGGUUUAGGUUAUUUGUAAAAAUGGAUUAUGUAUUUAUUUGGGCCCGGGCAAAAAUGGCCUAUUACACUAAUUACUGUGGAGCAUGCACCCGCUUGUGCAAGAACGAUGGGAACUUAUUUCAGCUGGACAUUCAUGUAUUUUCCAACUUCAAUGAAGCCAAUUUAAUGAAGAACAUGCACCCGAUUGUGCAUAUAUUUUUGAG
rnacentral:lncRNA from 1 species